AUGUUGUUUAGGGUGAACAUGGCCUUGCGGGAGAGCCAGGAGAUCAGGGAUACCCAGGAGACAAGGGUGCUCCUGGUUUACCAGGACCCCCAGGGAUCAGAGGAAAACCAGGACCUCCAGGGAAAAUGGGAGAACCUGGACCCCGUGGACCACUGGGUCCUCAAGGACCUGAGGGUUUUCCAGGAGAUAUUGGUGUACCUGGAUUAAAUGGCCCUGAAGGUCCUAAGGUAAGAUUAUAUGAAAACCUAUUAAAAAUAACAGUAAAUAGUGUAAAUCUCCAAGGAAAAGGCUCUGAGAGAUGGACACUGGCAUUAUGAGAAGAUAAGCUUAUUGACACAAUGCAGGUACUUUGCCUCAGGUAGUUAUAUGAGGAAGUUAUUUGAAUGUUUAAUGCUGUCCACGCAGUUCUGAGAGUAAUUACCAUGUUAGGUGGAAGCCUGUAACGGCAAAAUAAGUGUGAGAAAAUGCUAUGUAGCUAGAAAGGAGCAAAUGUUUCACCUGUAUUGAAAUAAAAUGCAUACCAAAUGUAUGCAGAUCUUUGUAUUACUCAGGUUCCACCUUUUAACAACUUUUAAAAGAAAUAGUAGUUGAAGAUAUGGAAAAAGUGUAAAAUUCAUGUGCCAGAUUAAAUUAUGGAUAAAAUAAUAUCUAUAACAAUAAAGCAUAAAAUUUAUCUACAAAACUGUGCCAGAAUAGUUUAGCUUCUUCUCUUUAGUAGGCUAUAAAAUUUUAGACCCAGCUUAGGCAAUAAUUCACGUGGAUAGUUUUCAAUGCAGCUUUGAACAAAAGCAGAUGUAGGAAAUUUUUUUAAAAUUGGAAGUGGUGGAGACUAACACAAAAAGUGCAGGUGACUCAGAAAUUAACCCAGAGGAAGAUGAUUGAAUAAUAUAUAAAGAUUGACUACUUGUUGAAAGGCAGGUACCAAUGAAGUUCCUCAAUCAUCAGCCUUGGGACUAUUCUUACAUUGUAUUUUCUGUGGUAAAUAGGCACAAGUAUGGCAGAAUGAAAUUCGUAUAUGAAACAAAGUUGAGCAUCUUUAGAUUAUCUAAAAGACUGCACUUUUUGCUAAUUCAUUCCACUUCAGUUAUUUCAGAUUGAUUCAUACAAGGACUAAAACAAUAAAUCCUACUAUAAACUUAGACCAAAGACGUUGCCGGAUCUCUCUGAAAUAGGAGCACAGUAAUCCAGUUAAAAAUUACGUGAAACUGUAGAACACAUGAAGCAAGAUGUCUCAUUAAUGCCACUGCACAAAGCAUGAGAAGGCUUUAUCUCCUUAGUACAGUUCUGGGCAUUUUUAUUCCAGGACUCAACUGUGCAAGACCAGCAAUAUCAUUUGUCCAAGAACAAAACAUACAGGUUGUCUAUGAGUAAACAGGCAUGGAAGUUACAACAUUUUCUAUCAACAGAGUUGUGAAAUUCUGUAACAAACUACUCAAGAAAACAUAGGAUGGGGAGCAGUAAAUAGUUUAAAGAUAAAAUCUAAUUGGUACCCAGAAGAUUGUAACAAUACCUCCAUGCCAAAGGUGAUCAUUCUUAAGAACCUCUCAAAUAACCCAGCUGCUGAAGCCAUAGCUAAUAUUUUCUGUAUCUCUUCUCUUUCAACCGUAUCAAGAGCCUUUUACCAAAAUAGACAUGAAUCUACUAGGAAGGCUGAGAACUACUUAUCUGAUGGGGCAAAUUGAGGAGAAGUUAAAAUGUGUUUCUAGAGACAGGUGUCCACCUUCAAUUCUGAUUUUUUGCUUUGCUAACUUGUUUGUAUGCAUGUACGUAUAACGUUAGCAGCUUUAUAUGAACGAGUUUGCCUGACCAUUGCAGUGGCAGUUGCUCUUGUGUUACGAGGGUGUUUACUAAAAAACCCUGUGUUGAUGAAAGACUGGGUCUAGGGAAAAUAUUGGAAGAGAAAUACAACAAUUCUUGGACUGCAGUUCAGAUUUAAUCAACCAGGAUUACACAUGAAUGAUGCAACAGAUCUAAUCCUUGCUGCUCAGUUUCCUCAGUGAGAUUGUGUUGUUGCACAUUAUAUCUGACGAGCUUUUGCGAGAAUUCUGUUGAUGUUUAAUACAUAUGUUACUGAUUUGUUGCCUUUUCACAGAUUCCAGAAAAAAAAAAGGAGCUAGGAGGUGGACUACAAAGUUUGAGACUCCAUGUUCCUUUGAUAGAGAAAUUACUGAAUAGCUGAACCAGAUUCAUGCUCUCCAGCACAUUUGGUAUUAGAGACAAAAAGCUUAGACAGCCUGCCCUAGUCAGGGAGAACUGGUGGCUUACAUUUGAAAAGAAGGAUUACCAAACUGGAAAAACUCUUACACUGCUCCCAGUGCUGAGGGAGAAGGUCUGUGUAACUUUGGAAACGUUUGGCUUUUGGGAUUCCCAGCUGCCUUGAGUUGACUGCAGCUCUAAAAAAUUUCCUCCAGAUUUUAUUUUUAGAAAACUGUUCUCACUAUGCUGCUAUUUUCCUCAUGUUUUUGUUUAUGCUUCCUCAGAAGCAAUAUCUAUUUUAAAAGCCAAGAAAGCAGGGUAAGCUUUAUUUUUUAACAGUUGGUGUGAGAUAAACUCAACCUCUUGGAAGUUUAAGCUCUAUUGAAUGUCAUCAGCUGUCUCUAAAUGCCAGUAGAAGUCCUGGAUUGUGAAUGUUCCCCAAAUUAGUGCAAUAAUCAGCAAAUCUGACCUCUCUAAAUCAAUGUUCAAAUGAUUUAUUAUGUAAUUUGGUCUACAGGACAUUACUCAGCUUGGAAACAAUAUUUUAGAAGGUGUUUGAUCUUGAUCCACCACUUACUAAAAAAAACAAUGUAACACACAUUUUUAAGAAAAAGGGAAUGAGAAUGUUUUUUAGAGUUCUGAAAUAACUUUGUUUGUUUCUUGUGUUGUUCUUUGCAAGUAUUUAUGCUCUCUAACCAAGAAAACUGAAAGGAAAAGAUGAUCAGAAUAUGCUGACUACCACUGUAGUUUUUCCAGCAGUGUGUAUUGUACCAUGGAAGUAGCUAAGAGCUUCCUUUCCCCGUUAACUUACGUUUGUUUGUAUAACACCUUUUAACAAAGUGAUUAUUAGGAGUUUCACCUCUUCUGGAAGGGAUGGUCGGCUGUGAAGUUAUGGAUGUGAAAUACAGGAUACCCCCUUUGCUGACUCCCAUUUUUUUCCAGAUGCUUUGGCACAUGUGUAAUGACUACCUUCAUUUUCUGUUUGUUGCCUGAAACCCCAAGGAGGAGAUGGAAAUUUCAUUUAUAUUCAGUUUACAGUCUGGAGUUUGUUUCUGGAUCCAGUUAAGUGCAGUGGAAGGAUGUGUACAGUAGCAGUGCUGCUGCUAUUUCCACAAUGCCAUUACACUGCAAUGAAAGCCCUAUCCCCUAACGGGCUUUGCUGUUAUGCCAAGACAAUUUCAUUACUAACCAUAUAAAAAUAUUACUUAUGUAGUGCUGCUGAAAGCCCUCCUGUCACUUCUGUGGUGGAUGUCAGGCAACACUCCA
ensembl:lncRNA